rnacentral:rRNA from 1 species
AUUGAACGCUGGCGGCAGGCCUAACACAUGCAAGUCGAGCGGAGCGGCAGACGGGGGAGUAAUGCCUAGGAAUCUGCCUGGUAGUGGGGGAUAACGACCGGAAACGGACGCUAAUACCGCAAACUAUCCACUGAGCCUAGGUAGGAUUAGCUAGUUGUGGGGGUAAAGGACUACCAAGGCGACGAUCCGUAGCUGGUCUGAGAGGAUGAUCAGUCACACUGGAACUGAGACACGGUCCAGACUCCUACGGGAGGCAGCAGGGGGGAAUAUUGCACAAUGGGCGCAAGCCUGAUCCAGCCAUGCCGCGUGUAUGAAGAAGGUCUUCGGGUUGUAAAGUACUUUCAGCUGGGAGGCGUUACCAACAGAAUAAGCACCGGCUAACUCCGUGCCAGCAGCCGCGGUAAUUC